AAAAAAAGGAGAAAAAUAAAAAAAGCAAGCGUGAGAAAAAUUUCUUGGGGAGUUCGAUGAUCAGACAGGUCAAAAAAGCAACAAAAAGUCUCUAUUAGCCGUCCAAUCAGCCCAUAUUUAGCAACCCAUACACUGUUAACUAACGCAUACAAAUCACACGCACACGCACACGCACACUCUGUCUCUCUCUUUGUCUCCGUGCUGUUGUCUAUUUAAUUUUCUUUGGUUUCUAAGAAAAGUUGGGGUUGAGGGAAGGGAGAAAUAUUGAACUUUACUUUUCAAUUUAUUACCUCUUCCAUCAUAUACACGCGGCAUUUUCUGUACGAUAUUUUUGUUGUUUAAAGGCUAGGCGCCGAGUCUAGUAUUGGUGUUUCUUUUUCUCUUCCUUCAUCAUCAGUAAAUGGGCUGCGUUAGUUCUAAAGUUGGAAGACACGUUCCUGGACAUGAGGACCCCAUAGCCCUUUCUUCACAAACAGCUUUUAGUGUAAGCGAAGUUGAAGCACUGUUUGAACUAUUCAAGAGCAUUAGCAGUUCUGUUGUUGAUGAUGGAUUAAUAAAUAAGGAGGAGUUUCAGCUGGCUCUUUUCAAGAACAGAAAGAAAGAGAAUCUCUUUGCUAAUAGAAUCUUUGAUCUCUUUGACGUUAAGCAAAAAGGAGUCAUUGAUUUUGGCGACUUUGUUAGAGCACUCAAUGUCUUUCAUCCCAAUGCUCCACGAGAAGACAAGAUAGACUUUUCAUUUAGGCUUUAUGAUUUGGAGAAUACAGGAUUUAUUGAGCGUCAAGAGGUUAAGCAAAUGUUGAUUGCACUCCUUUGUGAAUCUGAAAUGAAGUUGGCUGAUGAGACAAUUGAGAUAAUUCUUGAUAAGACUUUCUUGGAAGCUGAUUCUGACAGUGAUGGUAAGAUAGACAAAUCCGAAUGGCAGAACUUCGUCUGUAAAAACCCAUCCUUGUUAAAGAUCAUGACACUACCCUAUCUAAGGGACAUCACAACGACAUUCCCUAGUUUCGUUUUCAACUCGGAGGUGGAUGAAACUGCUACCUGAAAGGCUGAAAUUUUCGAUCGCGCAAAUAGCUUAGGAUAUGACAAACAGUUGGACCUGUGAGAGUUCAGAAUUGUAAAGAUGCAAAGCAACCGAUACCAACCUUUAAAGUACAAGCAAAGAAGUCUAGCAUGCCAUGUUGUCUUUUUCGUAUAACCUGUAACUCCAGUUGCAAUUAGCAGACUCCUUCAAUGCAAGUUUCCAUAGUUUUUGGUGCAGUGGAGGUUUGAUAAAUCACACACAAAAAAAAGUUUCAGUAGUAGCAUUGAAGUGAUUUGCAUAGUGCUGAGAUGCAGGUGAAGUAACGCUGUUAGUGACUGGGCAACAAUAGGGCAGCAUUGGUAAAUCGGUGGAGAUAAGAAUGAUGGUCCACGAAUUUAGCAACAAAAAGGGUGAUUCUGGCAUGGCUUUGUUGCAUCAGAGAUAGUGGUAGGGUAUGGAGGUCAGAGGUGGUUAUGCUGUGAAACUGUAAACUUUUGCUCCUUUCAAUUAAAACCACAUGUUCUAUUCUCACAAGAGGAAAAUAUUUGUUACUUCUUUUCUUCCCUUCUCAUGUGCAGAUGCAUAUGCACUACCAAGCAUGUGCAAAAAGGCAUGCCUUUUUCAGGAAGUGGGAAGCACUAGACAGCUAAAGUAGGACUAUAAUGGAGAGAUACCAGGUAAACAAAUCAUGAGAAGAAAGUGAGACACUUAGCAACAUGAAAUUCAGGUUCAUAGUCAAUUCCAACCUUAAGAACACAACAAAAAAUUCCUAUACUUACCAAAGGAUAAUGACACGUGCUAUUUGUAAUGCUCACCUGUCAUCACGUAUUCAGGCGCUGCAUAACCAUAUGUUCCCAUGACACGUGUAGACACAUGAGUCUUAUCUCCUUCAGGACCAUCUUUGGCAAGCCCAAAAUCAGAAAGCUUGGCAUUGUAAUCCUGGAACAGAUUCAGCAAUAUUUUAGAGAAGAGCAAGACAAGGAUGAAAAUAGUGCAUUACAUGCGUAACACUAGUCACCCACAGCAUCUAGCAGGAUGUUAGAUGUUUUAAAAUCUCGAUAUAUCACUGGCCGUUCAGCUUCCUCAUGAAGAAAUGCAAGGCCCUGUGCAGCACCGAGUGCAAUCUUCAUUCUGGUGGACCAAGGGAGAGGCAGGGACCCUGCUAUUUUAAACAUAAUUACUCUGACAGAUGUGCAAUAAAAUUGUUGACUAGCAGAAGAUAGUUUAGUCACUUAAACAA